UACAGAGGGUGCAAGCGUUAAUCGGAAUUACUGGGCGUAAAGCGCACGUAGGCGGUUUUUUAAGUCAGAUGUGAAAGCCCCGGGCUCAACCUGGGAAUUGCAUCUGAUACUGGGAAGCUAGAGUAUGUGAGAGGGGGGUAGAAUUCCAAGUGUAGCGGUGAAAUGCGUAGAGAUUUGGAGGAAUACCAGUGGCGAAGGCGGCCCCCUGGCACAAUACUGACGCUCAGGUGCGAAAGCGUGGGGAGCAAACAGG
rnacentral:rRNA from 1 species